rnacentral:rRNA from 1 species
GACGAACGCUGGCGGCGUGCCUAAUACAUGCAAGUAGAACGCACAGUUUAUACCGUAGCUUGCUACACCAUAGACUGUGAGUUGCGAACGGGUGAGUAACGCGUAGGUAACCUGCCUGGUAGCGGGGGAUAACUAUUGGAAACGAUAGCUAAUACCGCAUAAUAUUGAUUAUUGCAUGAUAAUUGAUUGAAAGCUGCUAUUGCAUCACUACCAGAUGGACCUGCGUUGUAUUAGCUAGUAGGUGAGGUAACGGCUCACCUAGGCGACGAUACAUAGCCGACCUGAGAGGGUGAUCGGCCACACUGGGACUGAGACACGGCCCAGACUCCUACGGGAGGCAGCAGUAGGGAAACAUCGGCAAUGGACGAAAGUCUGACCGAGCAACGCCGCGUGAGUGAAGAAGGUUUUCGGAUCGUAAAGCUCUGUUGUAAGAGAAGAACGGGUGUGAGAGUGGAAAGUUCACACUGUGACGGUAUCUUACCAGAAAGGGACGGCUAACUACGUG